AUGUCUCAUCGGUCACCUCCAAAGGUUGCUAUGAAUUCCAGUGGACCUGUGUUCACAAAGCAGAAUCCCUUCCCAGCAGCACCCAAAGUGAGGACGGCACACUACCACCCAUCCAGCAAACAACCCCUCUCAAAGAAAGAGAAAAAAACUACACUAAGUCCUGUACGUUUAAACCAGCGAUCCAGAACAAAGUUACAUAAUCUAAACCGAGAGAGCCAGCAGCUGUCUAAGAAGCAUGACCGUUUUUCCUCCAUUGAUGGACAACCUGUUCUUAAAGAGUCCCAGGCCUCCACUGUCGUUGGAUUCUCUCCUGAUAGAAAUACUGCCUCAUCUGACAUGGACGAACCCAAACAGUCUGGAAAAAUGGGGAAAUCCAGUGUUUCCCAAGUUCAAGGAGGCCAGGAGGAUUCUGUGCUGGCAAAAUACGUAGAGCGUUUUCGCCAUGGUCGCCCACAGAGUCGAGAGGAGCGCCAUCAGGUGGCUUCUGCCAGUGGAGAAGAGCAGGCUCCUUUUUGGUGGAUGUCACAUUCAUCACCCAGCAGUUCAACACCAACUAAAACAACAGACGAAGAUGUUAUCCAACUUCUGAAAGAGGACCAGGAUCCUGCUCUUUAUGAUCCAUCUGCACAGCGUGACCGUAACAGAUCCCUUUCUCCCUACAGAGGAUCCAAUAGUCUUUUGUCCGACACAUCCCAGGGUGAAUUUGAUGACAGGGAGAUCCUGCACCUUCAAGAAAAGGCCAGCAGACUUCUUCUGAGGGGUGAAUGUUCUGUGAGUGAUGGAUCUGUCCCUGUCAGCUCAGAGGGGCUGGGAUGCUCAGAUUUCUCCUAUCCCAUCAGUAUAGAUGAGCCAGUGAAGCAACCUUUGAUUCCCAGUUUAUUCAAAAAUACUACUGCAAAGGCCAGCUCAGACUCAGCUCAUGGUGUGUCCUUCCAAAAAUCUGUCAUGCCUUCUUUGGUGCCUCCUACCCGUCCAGAGGAAGACAUAUUGUUCCAGUGGCGUUUAAGGAGGAAAAUGGAGCAAGCCAGAGAGAGGCCCCUGUCUGUGCAAGCCUCCAGUCCUCAUGCAUUUAGUUGGCAGGCAACGAGGUUAAGCUAUCCCUCCAUUAGUGAACAAGCUUACAAGGAACAGCAGGGUACCCAACCUCCUCAAUUCUCACAAAGAGAUACUCAUUCACACAUCACUGCUGCCCAGCCAGAAACCACAGAGGCCCAGAGGUUCUGUCCCCCAGCUCCAGGUCCUUCACUAUUCCCCACCAUCAAUGUUUCUGGUUCAGUCCCUCAGCCGCAGAGCAUUGCCCACGUUCCUUCCCACAUGCAUUUUCUCUGUGACGUCUUGCCAUGUCCCAUCCAGUCAUCUCAUGCCAAAGUGCACCAGAGCAUUUCACAAAGGUUAGACGAGUCACAAACCAAAGUUCUUCACAAAAAGACCCAAGUCCCUGAAAGCCUUGGAGAAUUAACUCUUUGUGAACGCAUGUCACUCACUCCACCCACGCCAUCUGAGAGAGAGUGGCCUGAUCACCAAAAAAUGUCUGAGAAGAACAAGAAAAAGAAAACGGGGACGAAGCAAUCAGAGGUAAAUGGGAAGGAGGAAGCAGUGCUCGCCAGACAGCAUAAGAAAUCAGCAAGGAAUUCAUUACAUCAAAAGCUUCCCAAAAAGGUCACAUCAUGUAAAGAGCAGCAGCAACCAGAGAGAAGACAGGAGCUUCCCAGUGAAAGCUGUGCUGGUGAUCACGAACCACCACCAUCCCCUAUCCACAAUGCAUUAGGACAGGUAGUUUCAGAGGUACUGUUUCCUACGGUGGAUUCCUCUUCUCCGAAAAGGAUUCCUGUUUCAUCUGAUUCUCCUUCCUUCACCGUCGCUGCACCUUCACCAUCGCCAAUUCCUCCAAGCAAUGCACUGAACUCUAUGGAAGUCAUUUCACAGCUUUUCCAAGAGGCCGAAGAUUCGGAUGAAAAAGAGUUUGGAGAUGAUCCUUUGCUACAAGUUCUUCGCAAACAGAGAAAAUGGGUGAAGGAGCAGAUCAGUGAGGUGGACUCCAUCUUAAAUGAAUUCGUGGAAGAGCAACAAGUUACUUGA
rnacentral:lncRNA from 1 species